UGGGUUUUUUGAGGGUGAAGGUAACCAAAAAGGCAAAAGGGUGAGUCUGUGAGAGUCACGUACUUCGAACAAGAGCAAGAAGGGCUAGCAACUUUUUCUUGCUCUUCAAUACAUAGUUCGUGAGACGACCCAGGGUUGCUCUAGCGUGGAUAUCAGUAGAGGCAGGACGGCUGGAUUACUCAAGGGCUGAACAUCCUCAACAACACUACAGGGAGAUGCCGCAAGGAUUAAGUGUCCCUAAAACCUAACAGGGGCAACAUGAGGAAGGUCAGAAUAUGAGAAUUGGAAUCACAGCAGAAAACAAUCUGAGUCAGUUACUUGCAGCUUGGAUACUGAAGGAAAGAAGUACUGGAUCAAUUGUACUGGACAGCUUGCAGGCUAUCAAAUUGGCCCUAUGCAAGACCAAGGAACAAGGUUGGCAGUCAAUAAAGAUCCAAACAUCCUGUACUCGGGUUCUAAAAUUGACAAGGAGUCAAGCCUCAAGAGACAUAGGCCUUUCAGCUCAACUAGAGGACAUAAGAGACCUUAGCUCAAUGUUUAUAGGAAAUGCUCAUUUGAUAGGUCGUCUGUUGAACUUAAUAGACUAAGUGUAUGACUGAGUCAACAUGCAACACAUAUACAUUUUGAUGACGAAUUUCCAGAUCCUCAGUUUCUUAUUACACUUUUGUAUAGCUCAAGAUGAGCCCUUGCUCAUAUAGUGUAAUGCUUUUUUUACUAUCAAUAAAUCUAUUUAUCAUUUCC